rnacentral:rRNA from 1 species
CAGCAGCAGCCGCGGUAAUACAGAGGGUGCGAGCGUUAAUCGGAUUUACUGGGCGUAAAGCGUGCGUAGGCGGCUAAUUGAGUCGGAUGUGAAAUCCCUGAGCUUAACUUAGGAAUUGCAUUCGAUACUGGGAAGCUAGAGUAUGGGAGAGGAUGGUAGAAUUCCAGGUGUAGCGGUGAAAUGCGUAGAGAUCUGGAGGAAUACCGAUGGCGAAGGCAGCCAUCUGGCCUAAUACUGACGCUGAGGUACGAAAGCAUGGGGAGCAAACAGGAUUAGAUACCCCGGUAGUCCCUGUCUCUUAUAC